GAAUAAUUAAGUGCGGAGAAUUUCACCGACGGGUCAAUGGAUCACGCAUCUUAGGGAUUCCCCAUACGUUUGAUGGGCGAGUAUAAAUACUCUCCGUGGUUGUUCGGAAAGCUCAAACGUGUUUGAAUCCACAAGCGAAGAUCCUGCUGUUGAUCAAAGCUCGGAAACACCCUCACCAUGCACAAGUUAUUCGUGAUUUUCGUCCUCGCCAUCAUAACCAUUUCCAUGGUCUUCCUUCAGGCUGACGGCGUAUGCAUUUCAAAUUGGACGAAAUGCAAGCCUGACGGUAGCAUCGGGAACUGCUGCAGCGGAUACUGCUUCCAGGAGAAGCCCGACUGGGAAUACGGUAUCUGCAAAAACAGAUAAGCCCCUUCUUCUUUAGACCUCGCGCGGAGUGCGAAUCCCUUCGAAUAUGGAAUCAGGACCACCGAUACGACCCUUACUGCCGUCCUCAGCAAGAACGCAGUAUUUCCAUUCUAGAUUUCCUCAGCUUUUUACUGGUAAACACAACUGGUAAAAACAGCUCGAAUCAAAAUUUUAAAUCUGAACUUAGUUUCGACUUCGAAUGCACGUGGUUUUGCUAAACGGAACUAUGCGCAUUAUGACGUGGACCCUGUUAUGCAUAUAUUCUUAUGGGUCUCAGGGCUCAUGUCUUAAUGUACAUAAUUCCGUUCAGCAGAUAUACGUCCAAAUAUGAUGAAGGAGUCGAACAUUAGCUAUCUUCCCUAUAUACUCUUCUAAUAAUAAAUCUAUGACUUCUUUUUGUACAUAUUUUAAGACAUGUCCAUGACCAUUUAUAUUAUACUGUAAAAUUUCGUCACUUUCAUGACCUGAGAGCCUGCAGUUUUCUGCAAGAAAACGAUGUUAUGUUUGAACAAAGCAACAUCAUUUUUGUUGCAACGUUUGUUAUUGUUGAAAAAAGUGGAAAAAUAAAAAAAAAUAAAAUGAGUUACUAACCAAAA